GACGAACGCUGGCGGCGUGCUUAACACAUGCAAGUCGAACGGAAAGGCCCUGCUUUUGUGGGGUGCUCGAGUGGCGAACGGGUGAGUAACACGUGAGUAACCUGCCCUUGACUUUGGGAUAACUUCAGGAAACUGGGGCUAAUACCGGAUAGGAGCUCCUGCUGCAUGGGGGGGGUUGGAAAGUUUCGGCGGUUGGGGAUGGACUCGCGGCUUAUCAGCUUGUUGGUGGGGUAGUGGCUUACCAAGGCUUUGACGGGUAGCCGGCCUGAGAGGGUGACCGGCCACAUUGGUACUGAGAUACGGACCAGACUCCUACGGGAGGCAGCAGUGGGGAAUAUUGCACAAUGGGCGGAAGCCUGAUGCAGCAACGCCGCGUGCGGGAUGACGGCCUUCGGGUUGUAAACCGCUUUCGCCUGUGACGAAGCGUGAGUGACGGUAAUGGGUAAAGAAGCACCGGCUAACUACGUG
rnacentral:rRNA from 1 species